UACGUAGGGGGCAAGCGUUGUCCGGAUUUAUUGGGCGUAAAGAGCGUGUAGGCGGCUUGGCAAGUCCGCUGUGAAAACUCGAGGCUUAACCUCGAGAGGUCGGUGGAAACUGCCUAGCUAGAGUCCGGAAGAGGAGAGUGGAAUUCCUGGUGUAGCGGUGAAAUGCGCAGAUAUCAGGAAGAACACCCGUAGCUAAGGCGGCUCUCUAGUACGGUACUGACGCUGAGACGCGAAAGCGUGGGGAGCGAACAGG
rnacentral:rRNA from 1 species